GAUGAACGCUGGCGGCGUGCUUAAUACAUGCAAGUCGAACGGAGAGUGUAGCAAUAUGCUCUUAGUGGCGAACGGGUGAGUAACGCGUUGGUGACCUGCCCCGAAGCGGGGGAUACCAGUUCGAAAGGACUGUUAAUACCCCAUGUGGUCGUGAAGAUUAGAGGCUUUGCGACAAAAGGAGAAAUUCGCUUUGGGAGGGACCUGCGUCCCAUCAGCUAGUUGGUAGGGUAACGGCCUACCAAGGCGAUGACGGGUAGGGGACCUGAGAGGGUGGACCCCCACACUGGCACUGAAACACGGGCCAGACACCUACGGGAGGCAG
rnacentral:rRNA from 1 species